rnacentral:lncRNA from 1 species
CUGCCAACAGGUUCCUAAUUUCCUCAGGGAGAGGGCCGGGAGAAGAGGUACAGCUGGGGUUGGGCAUGAUAAUGGCUUGGACCUAGACUCGCAAUAGCGGUCCGAGUAAGCACCGAGAGGCUACGACUCCGGACACGGCCCGUCCGAGACUGCCAACAAGGAAGUCACUAGCUCUCCAGCCAGCGGUCGCUGGACGCCGGGCCCUGCCCCCUCCCCGCCCGGGAGAAUUGGGCGGGGCUAUGGGUGAAGGGGCGGGGAGACCGGCCUUAAAACCUGACUGCGCUUGCGUAGACCUUGCUUUCUGACUGUCCGAAGAAAGCGCCUCCGGGUAGACCACGCCCACACACAGCCGGGAAGGCCACGCCCAUACGCGGAAGCGAGCAGGAGGCGAGGCCUCCGAAGGAAGGGAGCGAAUUGGAGCUGUGUCACCUGACCGGCCCUUGAAGCUCGUCCGCGCCAUUUUCGUUACUGAGCAAGUACCAAGAGAUGAAGCAACCAAGACAGAUCUGUGCUCUUAUAAGAUGGAUAUAUUAGACAAAAGAAGUAACUGAGACUCAAUGCACACAUACCUCGCCAGCAGCCUACACAAGGCCUCAGCAUGCUAAGUUUCAACUGAGCCCUACCACCAGCCUAGCUGUAAGGCCAAUUUGUUUAACCAUUUAAUUCUAACCUUUUAUUCUACUUCUAACUGUCUCUGAAACCAAGUCUCAAUUAAAC